AUGGAUCGAUAUCCAACCAUCACCAUGUCAGUGCUGCUUCUAUACAUCUUCCUCAGCACCGCAGCCCUUAACCUACCAGCCAUGGCUGCCGGAGAAGAUGAGUUCGUCUUCUCCGGCUUCAAGGGGGCCAACAUCACCGUGGACGGCGUCGCCACGGUGACCCGGAACGGCCUUGUCGAUCUGACCAGUGGCCAGGAGACUCUCAAAGGCCAUGCAUUCUACCCUGCUCCGCUACGGUUCCGUGAGGAGUCCCCCAACGGCAACGGCACGGCGGUGAAAUCCUUCUCCGUCUCAUUCGUGUUCGCCAUCUACCCCAACUACCGGCCCAGCCAGGGCAUGGCCUUCUUCAUCGCCAAGAGCACCGACUUCUCCUCCGCCCUCCCUACGCAGUGGUUCAGCGUCUUCAACAGCGCCAGCCAGGGCAACUCCAGCAACCACAUCUUCGCCGUCGAGCUGGACACCGUCAACAACAGGGACCUGCACGACAUCGACGCCAACCAUGUCGGGAUCAACGUCAACAGCGUCGUCUCUAACAAGUCCACCACCGCCGGCUUCUACGACGACGAGACCGGCUCCUUCAACGCCUUGAACCUCACCAGCGGCGAGAGGCUGCAGCUCUGGGUAGACUACGAGAGGGAGGCGACGCGAAUCAACGUGACCAUGUCUCCGCUGGGCAUGGCCAAGCCAGCAAGGCCGCUCGUCUCUGCCAUCUACGACCUCUCGACGGUGAUCACCGAGGACGCGUUCCUUUGCUUCGGCUCCUCGGCCGGCAGGGACGGCAGCCGCCACUACAUACUUGGCUGGAGCUUCUCUUCAUCAGGGGGGCCUGCGCCGGCCAUUGACAUCCGGAAACUGCCACCGUUGCCUCGUCUUGGCCCCAAGCCUCGGUCCAAGGCCCUGGAGAUCGUGUUGCCAUUAGCAACGGCCACUUCUGUCCUCGCCGUGGGAGUCACCAUUUUCCUGCUCGUGCGAAGGCAUCGGAGGUACGCCGAGCUGCGAGAAGAUUGGGAGGUUGAGUUCGGGCCUCACCGGUUCCCGUACAAGGAUCUCUACCAUGCCACACAAGGGUUCAAGAACAAGAACCUGCUCGGGGUUGGCGGCUUCGGGAGAGUGUACAAAGGGGUGCUGCCGAAAUCAAAACUUGAGAUAGCCGUCAAGAGGGUGUCGCACGAGUCCAAGCAAGGCAUGAAGGAGUUCAUCGCUGAGGUCGUCAGCAUAGGACGGCUCCAACACCGUAAUCUCGUGCACUUACUCGGCUACUGCCGGCGAAAAGGCCAACUGUUUCUGGUGUACGACUACAUGCCCAACGGAAGCCUUGACAAGUACUUGUACCAUCGUCGUCAGGACGAUGACAACAAGCUGCAGCCUGCUCUGAACUGGGCUCAAAGGUUUAAGAUCAUCAGAGGCGUCGCAUCUGGAUUGCUCUACCUUCACGAGGAGUGGGAACAAGUUGUCAUCCACAGGGAUGUCAAAGCAAGCAACGUGCUCCUUGAUGCUGAAAUGAAUGCCCGGCUAGGUGAUUUUGGCCUUGCACGUUUGUACGACCAUGGCGUCGAUCCACAGAGCACGCAUGUGGUUGGCACCAUAGGAUACCUAGCUCCCGAGCUAGCAUGCACCGGAAAGGUAACCCCUCUUACCGAUGUGUUUGCGUUUGGCAUAUUCAUCCUUGAAGUCGUCUGUGGACAACGGCCAAUCAAGCAAGAUGCACGAGAAAAACAUCCCAUGUUAGUUGAUCGGGUUCUUGAGCAUUGGCACGGUGGAUCACUCCUCGACACGGUGGACGUUGAACUGCAUGGCGAGUAUGAUGUAAAUGAGGCAAACUUAGCACUCAAGCUUGGACUAUUGUGCUCGCACCCAUUCAUGGACGCUAGGCCUACCAUGCGCCAAGUAAUGCAGUACCUUGACGGUGACCGCACAGCACCAGAGCUAUCAUCACCAGUGGACACCAACUUCGAGAUGCUCGCUGCAAUGCAAAACGAAGGUUUUGACCCGUACGUCAUGUCAUAUCCUUCUUCCAAGGCAAGCCAUGGCGCAACAUCCAUUGUCUCAGGUGGAAGAUGA
rnacentral:rRNA from 1 species